rnacentral:lncRNA from 1 species
ACAAAAGGGCUCAUUAUUUCCUACAAUAUAUUGGUUCAAACUGUCUCUGAAAUGUAACAGAUACAGUACAUACAUGGUCAUCCUCAACCUUAGUGAUCCCUGAUGGGGACAAGGGGGGGGGGGGGGGCAGAGAGAGACAAGAGAGACAGAGCAAGAGAGAGACCAACACUGUAUACUGUAUAUGCAUAAUGACAUUUGAAAUGUCUUCUUUUUGAACUCCUGGAAUGUUUACUAUUCAUUUUGUUUAUCUAUUUCACUUCUUUGGUAAUGUAAAAAAUGCUUCCCAUGCCAAUAAAGCCCCUUAAAUUUAAAUGAGAGAGAAAGAAAAAGAGGGGGAGGAUAAGAGAGAGAGAAAGAACGAGACAGAGACAAAAGAGAUCAAAAUAUGACAUGUGAAAUGUCUAUGUCUAUGUCAGACAUUUCUAUACAAAUCAGUACAAAUACACAUCACUAAACAGCUUGAUCAGGGAUAACAUGAGGGAAAAAAACAUGCAUUAUUUUUGUAUAACUUUUCAGAUACAAUGGUACAGGCAGACAGUGGGGGGAUCUGUGGGGGGAGUCUGCAAACACAUACAGGAAGACACACACACACACACAUGCACACACAGACAGUCAACACAGGCAUGCUAGCAGACUUUCACACACACAAUUACGUUUAUGCUUAGUAAGCAGCAAACCCUCAGCAGGCCUGUCUGUUCUUUCCAGACAGCUUUGUGGGUAGCCUACUGUCUCCAAAUAGCAAACCCACAUUGUACACCAAGUAUUGUGUUCCCUGUAGUGGCAGCCUGCGGUGUGUUGUGUGGUGGGGUGUGUGGUGUGUGUGUGUGGUGGUGUGUCUGUGUUUCAAAUAAUGUUUGCCUGUCAUGUCAUGACAUGAUAAUCUUACUUGAUCUGUAUGUUCAUUUGGUGCGCUUGGUAACCUGCUUGGGCUUGUUAACCUAGCGUGGGGACUGUGUUAACUUUUAUAGCUUGGGCUUGUUAACCUAGCUUGGGUUGUUUACCUAGCUUGGCUUGUUACCUGCUUGGGCUUGUUAACAACCUAGCUUGGGCUUGUUUACCUAGCUUGGGCUUGUUAACCUAGCUUGGGCUUGUUAACCUAGCUUGGGCUUGUUAACCUAGCUUGGGCUUGUAAACCUAGCUUGGGCUUGUAAACCUAGCUUGGGCUUGUAAACCUAGCUUGGGCUUGUUAGCCUAGGGUCAUAAAUAGCAGGUUUCAACUUUAAUUCAGUCAAAUCUACCAUUUCCUCAGUAAAAAAUAAAGUAUGCAUAUUAAUUAAAUUAGUGACUAUUAGUGACAAAUCAUGCAGCUGAUGAUCUUAGUGAAAAUAUAUAACUUCACUAGUUUUAACUUACCCUCGUUUCUAACUUGAGUACAGAACGUUUGUCUUUACCCCACACAUUUCAUCUCUGAGUCCUAAAAUUAUCCAAAUAUGUAAACCCCUCUCCUAGUGUCAAUUCCAAAUGAGAAAGUUGGGCUGUCGUUUGGACCACUAAUUUCUCCCUAGGGCUGGCAAGUUACCUUCUUCCCCUGGCAACAUGACUGUACAGUUCUGCACACAGAUGCCAAAAUCAUCAAAGUGAAGUUCAGGUCAAAAGUUUUCUACUAAAAUGGAUUAAUUCAUUUGAAUUGAAAAUAUAACAAAUAUUUUAAAAAAUCAGCAAAAAAAGACAACUGCCCUUUUUCAAGACCCUGUCUUUCAAAAAUAUUUCUUAAAAAUCCAAAUAACUUUACAGAUCUUCACUGUAAAGGGUUUAAACACUAUUUCCCAUGCUUGUUCAAUGAACCAUAAACAAUUAAUGAACAUGCACCUGUGGAACGGUCGUUAAGACACUAACAGCUUACAGACGGUAGGCAAUUAAGGUCCCAGUUAAGAAAACUUAGGACACUAAAGGGGCCUAUCUACUGAC